UGCGCUGAAGCAACAAGAUCCUCCGAUGCCAUUGGAGUUGAUUCUCUCCGCGCAAGUGGGAAAAACUGAUGCUGGCGAAAACACGCGUCCCUGUUCCCAGCCCGUCGCUGUGACACUGUGUUGAGGGCAGCGGCGGCGGCCUCCAGGUGCGGCAUGAUCAUGUGUCAUUGCUGAAGCGCGGCACGCAUGCUGUGAUGCUGAGUCGUCCCCACAUCCACAUCCACAUCCCUGUCCACUCAGGACGGAUCCACCCGAACAGCAGAGUGGAUUCACUCAGGGGGAAGGCUACACCACCUUGCAUCUCCUCCACCUCCUCGAGGCUGGGACACCAGGGCAUGUGAGAGAGCAGAAGGGGUCCGGGGCAAUAACAGGGCACUGUGUUUGAGAAGAUUUGUGUGGCAGAGAGAAGCACAGCGGCGCACCCUUGAGGCUUCU